AGACUCCUACGGGAGGCAGCAGUGGGGAAUUUUGGACAAUGGGGGCAACCCUGAUCCAGCAAUGCCGCGUGUGUGAAGAAGGCCUUCGGGUUGUAAAGCACUUUUGUCCGGAAAGAAAACUUCGGAGUUAAUACCUCUGGAGGAUGACGGUACCGGAAGAAUAAGCACCGGCUAACUACGUGCCAGCAGCCGCGGUAAUACGUAGGGUGCGAGCGUUAAUCGGAAUUACUGGGCGUAAAGCGUGCGCAGGCGGUUCGCUAAGACCGAUGUGAAAUCCCCGGGCUUAACCUGGGAACUGCAUUGGUGACUGGCGGGCUAGAGUAUGGCAGAGGGGGGUAGAAUUCCACGUGUAGCAGUGAAAUGCGUAGAGAUGUGGAGGAAUACCGAUGGCGAAGGCAGCCCCCUGGGCCAAUACUGACGCUCAUGCACGAAAGCGUGGGGAGCAAACAGGAUUAGAUACCCUGGUAGUCCACGCCCUAAACGAUGUCAACUGGUUGUCGGGUCUUCAUUGACUUGGUAACGUAG
rnacentral:rRNA from 1 species